GUGAGGAAUAUUGGUCAAUGGGCGAGAGCCUGAACCAGCCAAGUCGCGUGAGGGAUGACGGGUCCAUGGCCUGUAAACCUCUUUUGUGAAGGAAGAACCUCGGGGACGUGUCCCCGCCUGCCAGUACUUCACGAAUAAGCAUCGGCUAACUCCGUGCCAGCAGCCGCGGUAACACGGGGGAUGCGAGCGUUAUCCGGAUUCAUUGGGUUUAAAGGGAGCGUAGGCGGCCCGACAAGUCAGCGGUAAAAGACUGCAGCUAAACUGUAGCACGCCGUUGAAACUGCCGGGCUAGAGUGCAGACGAGGUUGGCGGAACAGGUGAAGUAGCGGUGAAAUGCAUAGAUAUCACCUGGAACCCCGACAGCGAAGGCAGCUGACCAGGCUGUAACUGACGCUGAUGCUCGAGAGCGUGGGUAGCGAACAGGA
rnacentral:rRNA from 1 species